AACGAACGCUGGCGGCAUGCCUAACACAUGCAAGUCGAACGCUCGUAGCAAUACGGGAGUGGCGGACGGGUGAGUAACGCGUGGGAACCUGCCCUACAGUGGGGAAUAACGGCUGGAAACGGCCGCUAAUACCGCAUGCGCCCGCAAGGGGAAAGAUUUAUCGCUGUUGGAGGGGCCCGCGUCGGAUUAGGUAGUUGGUGGGGUAACGGCCUACCAAGCCUUCGAUCCGUAGCUGGUCUGAGAGGACGAUCAGCCACACUGGGACUGAGACACGGCCCAGACUCCUACGGGAGGCAGCAGUGGGGAAUAUUGGACAAUGGGGGCAACCCUGAUCCAGCAAUGCCGCGUGAGUGAUGAAGGCCCUAGGGUUGUAAAGCUCUUUCAGUCGCGACGAUGAUGACGGUAGCGACAGAAGAAGCCCCGGCUAACUCCGUGCCAGCAGCCGCAGUAAG
rnacentral:rRNA from 1 species